GGGAGAGAUAAGAGGAAAGGAAGGGAAAAAAAGAGGGAAGAAGGAAAAAAGUUAAUAAUCGUCUGGAGAAGAAGUUGGCGUAGGUAGUUUGAGAAGGAGAGAUGUCAAUGACAGAUGAUGCAGACAGGCAAUAUAGGAAGGAUGCUUUCACUCCCUUUAUUACAAGAAUGGAUGGACGUCGCCGUGCUCCCAGGACAAACGACCGACACCAAGAGCCAUAACUGAUAGAAAUAACACUCACAAAGCUCUCGGUGAUAACAAAUUUGGCACGACCCUCCUGGAUGAAGAUAAACGCAAAAAGAGAAACGCCAAAUCUCGUAUUCAACCGUGAAAACAAAUUCAGGGAUCAUAAACAUGACCCGGCCAGCGCGUGGAAAAUAGAACGCUUGUGCCUGACACAACACAUCACCCAGACCUAUGAUGUAACGAUUUCUUUGCAAAAGUACUGAAAAUCGGCAAUUACACAAACAACUGCGUUUAUCUCAACAAAACACAAAUAGGAGAGAGGCUUUUAGCCAGUAUUAUUCAGCAGUCUGACGGGAGGGGGGUAGGCAAGCUGAGAAACUACGAGAGUGGAUAGUAUUGCAUUCUGAUUCAUUAAAUAGUCAUCCCUCAGUUGCAUACCGUCAUACAACCAUUAUAAACACGUCUUUAGGCAUUGGUGUUUCCCCAUUGUCUUGGAAACUUGGAAACAAUUUAGAGACGAAAUUAGCUAUUAUCAGCCCCAGCAUCAUGCGCCCUAUCUUGUCUAAACUUGACGAAACGAGAGUAGCAAGUCAAUUAGUAACAGUUCUUGAAGCCGAGAGCCUCCACAGAUACAACAUAAUUAGAAACUGCAAACGAAAUUUAUGAUGCCAAAACCAAGAACCAAAUAACCUGGCUCAUGUUUAUGUAGUCUAUCCAGUAACCUUUUACGGUCCAAUUCCUGUACAUCGUGACACACUAAGAAAUCGUUGACCUGAUGCUCACUGGGUCGGAAAUCGCUCAUCUUCAAGAACUCAGUCGGUCAGAAUUGGCGAAAAUGUUUCACCAGUCUCCAUAUUGGAUCUGUAUUGGGCCCGAUCCUAUUCACAGCUUUCGUUAAUGAUUUAUCGAUUCUGGCCAUGAAUUGCCUUCUUGUUCAAUACGGCGAUGACACAGUUUCUUCACACACUGUAAACAACUUGAAUAAAUUAAUAAGAGAUACACAGCAGAC